AAAAAUUGCUGCGCUAUUAGCGGAACACAACUUGCCGAUGACAUUUUGUGAUCAUUUGAUUCCUUUAUUGAAAGACGCGUUUCCGGAUUCAAAAAUUGCGCAAGGAAUGCAGAUGGAAAGAACGAAGGUGACAGGAGUUAUCAAACAUGUUUUGGCAAAUUCACAUUUUGUUAAACUAGUUGAAGAACUGAAAGUGGAAAAAUUUAGCAUUUUGAUAGAUGAAUCCACAGACAUAGGUGUAGUGAAAAAUAUUUGUGUGUGUACGGUACUUUGGUAACAAAAAUUGAAAUAACCACGAAAUUUUUUAAUUUGGACCAAUGUUUUUCAAAUGAAAAUCCAGCUGAAGCAGAAACAGGUGCAACAGCAGAAGUAAUUUAUAACAGAAUUGAAAGUUUAUUCGAGUCUGCAAGAGUAUAAUUUGAAAAUAUAAUUGGUUUUGGCUCUGAUGAUGGUUGUAACUCUAUAUUUGGUUACAAAAAUUCAAUAACAUUUUGUAAUGUGAAGUCCCACAAAAUUUUGCGUCCAUCACAAACUAGAUGACUCUCAUUACUAAUGGUGGUCGAAAGGAUUAUUGAACAAUGGAAUCCUCUUCAACUAUAUUUUGUACGAGAAUGGACCGAGCAUAGGUUACAAGCAUCCGAAAUUAAACUUUUUUUCUUUUUACUUCAAUGGGUUUUAAUUCAAAUUUGUUAAAUUUGUACAGUGAUAAUAUAAAUUCACUAUUAUUCGUAAACGGCGAAUGUUACAAUUUAAAUGUUACAGAGAAUAUGAUAAUGUAACGAAUUAAAGAAUUAACUGUCUUAAA